UGGAAUGUGGUUCAGUGGUGGAGUGCUUGCCUAGCAUAUGAGAGACCCUGGGUUUAAUCCCCAGCAUUACAA
rnacentral:tRNA from 1 species